GACAGCAGCCGCCGCGGUAAUACGUAGGUGGCAAGCGUUGUCCGGAAUUAUUGGGCGUAAGGGCUCGCAGGCGGUUUCUUAAGUCUGAUGUGAAAGCCCCUGGCUCAACCGGGGAGGGUCAUUGGAAACUGGGAAACUUGAGUGCAGAAGAGGAGAGUGGAAUUCCACGUGUAGCGGUGAAAUGCGUAGAGAUGUGGAGGAACACCAGUGGCGAAGGCGACUCUCUGGUCUGUAACUGACGCUGAGGAGCGAAAGCGUGGGGAGCGAACAGGAUUAGAUACCCCUGUAGUCCCUGUCUCUUAUACA
rnacentral:rRNA from 1 species